rnacentral:rRNA from 1 species
UACGUAGGGGGCAAGCGUUGUCCGGAAUCAUUGGGCGUAAAGAGCGCGUAGGCGGCCCAGUAAGUCCGCUCUGAAAGUCAGGGGCUCAACCCCUGAAUGCGGGUGGAUACUGCUGGGCUAGAGUCCGGAAGAGGCGAGUGGAAUUCCUGGUGUAGCGGUGAAAUGCGCAGAUAUCAGGAGGAACACCGAUGGCGAAGGCAGCUCGCUGGGACGGUACUGACGCUGAGGCGGGAAAGCGUGGGGAGCAAACAGG